GCUCUUUUCUCAUUCUUUAACACAUUACUCAUGAGUGGAAGAAUUCUCAGAUUCCCUUCUGUGAAAGACUACUGAGUUCUUAAUGAAAAUUUUGACUUGUGUUGUAGUUUAAUUUGAUUUGGAAUCAAGAACUGAUUCUUCUGAUUCUAAAUGUGAGAUAUUAUGAGUCAUAGAGUAGUUCUAGAACGCAACUCUGCUCUCUGCCUUGUCUUUCAGUUCAGAUAGCUAGUGGUGGGUUGAACAGCUGGAAGAACCAUAUUUACUCACUACUGGAAAAUCAUUUUAUAAUUGACAAGAUUAUUAUAAAGAAUAAGAAAAGGAGAUUUAGUGCAGUAGCAUCUCACAGAUGCUUUUCCAACAGUCUUCUGUGCAACUUUAAAAUCUCAUGCAGAUAUUUAAAUCUAAUUGCUAAUUAGUUUAAGGCAAUGCAUAACCAUGGAAAAGGCCAAAAAAAAAAAAUAUAUUGAAUGAGCUUUGGCAGUCUCUCCUUACAUUUGGAUCGUCAGCCCUUCAUGACUGGAGACCUGUGCAAAUAAGCUUGGGGUAAAGGAGCCUACUGGCACCAUUCAUUCUAUGGAUUAAAUGCAAGUUGCUCUCUGGGCCUCUGCCUGAGGCCCCCUCUCUCACAGUGGUCUCACAGUGCGAGUAACUCACAUCCUUCUGAAAAUGCUGUUGAUAAUUGCUGCUUUGUAGGGCAGUGAGCUCACACUAUUACACAAGAUUAGUGCUGUUCUCAAGAGCUGGCCAGAUUGUCUUUCCCGCACAGAGGUUUGCCAGCUAGGAAAAUAAUGGGCAUAUUGCCACUUUAACAACUAUCAGGAGACCCCAAGUUAGUUUUUCUUCCCUUCAGCAUAUUCAUGUUUGUAGGAUCCAACUCCAGGCUGCCAGCAUAGGGUAGUGACACCAAAACAAACGUCUCUUUCUCCUUUAAAACAAAGCUGCUCUUUUCUUUUCAGUUGUCGGUCAACGAAUUACCCUGUUCAACUAAAAGACAGCAGCAAAACCAUAACCUCCCUUAAAACAUAAAUAAAGAAGGACCCAGACUAGACUAACCUUAAGCAAGUACAAGGAUCAGAAGAAGGUUUAUCUUUACCUUGCAGGGAAGUCAUUUGCCCCUAACAAACAAGACAAAGUUAAAUGCACCACUCCCCCUCCAGACUGCAAACAAAUGCCUAUUGUGUACACCAGCCAUCUAGGGAUAAAAAAGUCAUUUUAAAGUAAUGUUAAAUAAGGCUGUAAAGAAUUCAGAAAGACACAAAGGAAGUUGUUAAGAAAACUGGAGUUUUCUUUGCUAAGUCAGUUUGGCAAUAACAUGAAGCAAAAUCAAAGCAUCCUAGCCAAGAUAAAUCUGCACAAUGGAAUGAUCAGAUAUGAGGUAAUAGUGUGACAUGCCUGUGGGUAUCAGACAUUCUUGUAAAAACCACAGAGCUAAAAUUUGGUACUGCACCAUUAAACUACAGCUCUGCCAAGCAACAACAGGAACACUCAUUUUAAGUCAUUGCUGCAAGCCAAAUGUAAUUCUCACCCAAAACAAUUAAAUCUUUUAACAGAGGCCUGAAUCUGGGCAGUUUGAGCCCCGAGAAUCACUUUAGUGGCAUGGAGUCCGAAUCUCAUUUCAGUGUGAAAAUGAGAUGGUUAUUGUUCAGAUCAGGAGGAAGUGUCAGCUGCAAAAUAUAGGGCAGUCAAGUGACUUUAGUAACUUGCGGUGAUAUUUGUUAAGAUUAGAUUUAAAAAGGGUUAGUUAAGAAAUUUGUAUUUUUUGUGAGAAAUGCACAUAUCAUUUUAUAAAGUUCAUUUUUAGCAAUUAGAAAAAUAAUGCUCACUCUAGAGAACUUGGAAAAUAUCAUAAGUAAGAAUAUAUAGAAUAAAAUAUUAUCUCAGUCUCAUAUCACUCAGACAUAAACUCUGGAAGAUUUUAUUGCAUUUGCUUUUGGUCUUUUAUAUACACAGACACACACGCAAACACAAACACACACACAUACAUCCAUACACCCAGCUGUAUCUGAGAGUAUGAGUAAAAUUUGGAUCAUUAUAAUGUAAUAAUUUAACACUUGUUUUACUACCCCCCAUUUCUUUAUUUAUUCUUCAAAGAAAAUUUUAAAUGGUGAUAUAAUAUUCUAUUUGUCUGGCUAUAUCAUAAUUUAUUGAACAUAUGUUUACUCUAUAAAUUGUUUUCCCUUUACUGCUAAUAAACGUAGUAUUUCAUAUAAAA